UAGAACCCGUGCACGCUUAAUUCAGCUUAAUUGCUUUUAAUACAAAGGCACCGUGACACCACCGCCUCCUCCGAGCAGCGGGCCCGUCGCACAUCUGCCUCCAUCAAGCAGCAGGCCUGCGACGCCGUCGCCUCUUCCGAGCAGUGUUUGGUCCAGCCAUGACGCACCCUUCCAAGGACACUGUAAGCCCCACUGAUAUUACAAGCUGUUCACCAGGCAACACCAACACUCAGACACUAGCUCAAAAUGCUGAAGUGUGCGUUACGCGUGGACCGUCUUGCUAUUGUUGGGGGCAGCACGCUCACCGACGUCGU